GGGCCCAUGGCGGGCGAGGGCGGGGCGGCGCCGUGGGGGCGGCGGUGCUUCGGGUGACAACGGUCAGAGAUGAAGGUGGCGGCGGCUCAGCGGGGAGUAGUGCUGCGCCGGGCGCGGUUGGCAGCCAGGCCGCGCCUGUAGGACCUCCGGGCCGGGGUGGCGGGAUGGGGACCCGACUCGGGUAGAAAAGCGGGGACAGCAGAGAGCAGAACUUAAGCCCGAGGGGCUCGCCUGCUCCGGUCACACUCGGAGUCCUCUUCCACCUGCUGCCGCUCGGUCCCGCGUCCGGCGGGCCACGACGGCGUCGGCGACGGCGGGGGCAUGUGGCGCUGGGUCCGGCAGCAGCUGGGUUUUGACCCACCACAUCAAAGUGACACAAGAACUAUUUACAUAGCCAACAGGUUUCCUCAGAAUGGCCUUUACACACCUCAGAAAUUUAUAGAUAACCGGAUCAUUUCAUCUAAGUAUACUAUAUGGAAUUUUGUUCCAAAAAAUUUAUUUGAACAGUUCAGAAGAGUGGCAAACUUUUAUUUUCUUAUUAUAUUUUUGGUUCAGCUUAUGAUUGAUACACCUACCAGUCCAAUUACCAGUGGACUUCCAUUAUUCUUUGUGAUAACAGUAACUGCCAUAAAACAGGGUUAUGAAGACUGGUUACGCCAUAACUCAGAUAAUGAAGUAAACGGAGCUCCUGUCUAUGUUGUCAGAAGUGGGGGGCUUGUAAAAACUCGAUCCAAAAACAUUCGGGUGGGUGAUAUUGUUCGUAUAGCCAAAGAUGAAAUUUUUCCUGCAGAUUUGGUGCUUCUGUCCUCAGAUCGACUUGAUGGUUCAUGUCAUGUGACAACUGCUAGUUUGGAUGGAGAGACAAACCUAAAGACACAUGUGUCAGUUCCAGAAACAGCAGUAUUACAAACAGUUGCCAACUUGGACAGUCUCAUAGCUGUAAUAGAAUGCCAACAGCCAGAAGCAGAUUUAUACAGAUUUAUGGGACGAAUGAUAAUAACUCAACAAAUGGAAGAAAUUGUAAGACCUCUGGGACCAGAGAGUCUCUUGCUUCGUGGAGCCAGAUUAAAAAAUACAAAAGAAAUUUUUGGUGUGGCUGUAUACACUGGAAUGGAAACUAAGAUGGCACUAAAUUACAAGAGCAAGUCACAGAAAAGAUCUGCAGUAGAAAAAUCAAUGAACACAUUUUUAAUAAUUUACCUAAUAAUACUUAUUUCUGAGGCCAUCAUCAGUACGAUCUUGAAAUAUACCUGGCAAGCUGAAGAAAAAUGGGAUGAACCUUGGUAUAACCAAAAAACAGAACAUCAAAGAAACAGUAGUAAGAUUCUGAGAUUUAUUUCUGACUUCCUUGCUUUUUUGGUACUCUACAAUUUCAUCAUUCCAAUUUCUCUGUAUGUGACAGUUGAGAUGCAGAAAUUUCUUGGAUCAUUUUUUAUUGGCUGGGAUCUUGAUCUGUAUCACGAAGAGUCAGAUCAGAAAGCUCAAGUCAAUACUUCUGAUCUGAAUGAAGAGCUUGGGCAGGUGGAAUAUGUAUUUACAGAUAAAACUGGAACACUGACAGAAAAUGAGAUGCAGUUUCGAGAAUGUUCAAUUAAUGGCCUGAAAUACCAAGAAAUCAAUGGUAAACUUGUACCUGAAGGACCAAGCCCAGACUCCACAGAAGGAGAAGUGCCUUUCCUUGGUAGUUUAUCCCAUCUCAGCAACUCAGCCCAUCUCACAGCCACUUCUCUUAGAACCAGUCCUGAAAGUGAAACUGAGCUAAUCAAAGAACACGAUCUGUUCUUUAAAGCAGUCAGUCUUUGCCAUACUGUACAGAUCAGCAAUGUUCAAACUGACGGCAUCGGGGAUGGUCCCUGGCAGCCCAACCUGGCACCUGCACAGCUGGAGUACUAUGCAUCUUCACCAGAUGAAAAGGCUCUGGUGGAAGCUGCGGCAAGAGCUGGUAUUAUAUUUGUAGGCAUUUCUGAAGAAACUAUGGAGGUUAAAGUACUUGGGAGAUUGGAAAGGUACAAAUUGCUUCAUAUUCUGGAAUUUGAUUCAGAUCGUAGGAGAAUGAGUGUAAUUGUUCAGGCACCUUCAGGUGAGAAGCUUUUAUUUGCUAAAGGAGCAGAAUCUUCAAUUCUCCCUAAAUGUAUAGGUGGAGAAAUAGCAAAAACCAGAAUUCAUGUUGAUGAGUUUGCUUUGAAAGGACUGCGGACACUGUGUAUAGCUUACAGACAGUUUACAGCUAAAGAGUAUGAAGAUGUAGACAGGCGCCUGUUUGAGGCCAGAACUGCCUUGCAGCAUCGGGAAGAGAAAUUGGCUGAUGCCUUCCAGUACAUUGAGAAAGACCUGAUAUUGCUAGGAGCUACAGCAGUGGAAGACAGACUACAAGAUAAAGUUCGAGAAACUAUUGAAGCACUGAGAAUGGCUGGUAUUAAAGUAUGGGUACUUACUGGAGACAAACAUGAAACAGCUGUUAGUGUGAGUUUAUCUUGUGGACAUUUUCAUAGAACUAUGAAUAUCCUGGAACUUAUCAACCAGAAGUCAGAUAGUGGAUGUGCUGAACAGUUGAGGCAGCUUGCCAGAAGAAUUACAGAGGACCAUGUGAUUCAGCAUGGGCUAGUAGUAGAUGGGACCAGCUUAUCUCUUGCACUCAGGGAACAUGAAAAGCUCUUUAUGGAAGUUUGCAGAAACUGUUCAGCUGUAUUAUGUUGUCGCAUGGCACCUUUACAGAAAGCAAAAGUAAUAAGACUGAUAAAAAUCUCUCCUGAGAAACCGAUAACACUGGCUGUUGGUGAUGGUGCUAAUGAUGUAAGCAUGAUACAAGAAGCGCAUGUUGGCAUAGGAAUCAUGGGUAAAGAGGGAAGACAAGCUGCAAGAAACAGUGACUAUGCAAUAGCUAGAUUUAAAUUUCUCUCCAAAUUACUUUUUGUUCACGGUCAUUUUUAUUAUAUUAGAAUAGCUACCCUUGUACAGUAUUUUUUUUAUAAGAAUGUGUGCUUUAUCACACCCCAGUUUUUAUAUCAGUUCUACUGUUUGUUUUCUCAACAAACACUGUAUGACAGCGUGUACCUGACUUUAUACAAUAUCUGUUUUACUUCCCUACCUGUUCUCAUAUAUAGUCUUGUGGAACAACAUAUAGACCCACACGUAUUACAGAGCAAGCCUACCCUCUAUCGGGACAUUAGUAAAAACGGUCUCUUGAGCAUUAAAGCAUUUCUUUACUGGACCGUCCUGGGUUUCAGCCAUGCCUUCAUUUUCUUCUUUGGAUCCUACUUUCUAGUGGGGAAGGAUACAUCUUUGCUUGGAAAUGGUCAGAUGUUUGGAAACUGGACAUUUGGUACUUUGGUCUUCACAGUCAUGGUUAUUACAGUCACAGUAAAGAUGGCAUUGGAAACUCAUUUCUGGACUUGGAUCAACCAUCUUGUUACCUGGGGAUCUAUUAUAUUUUAUUUUAUAUUUUCUUUGUUUUAUGGUGGAAUUCUCUGGCCAUUUUUGGGCUCCCAGAAUAUGUACUUUGUAUUUAUUCAGCUCCUGUCAAGUGGGUCAGCUUGGUUUGCCAUACUCCUCAUGGUUGUUACAUGUCUAUUCAUUGAUGUUGUGAAGAAAGUGUUUGAUCGACAGCUUCAUCCUACAAGUACAGAAAAGGCACAGAUGUACUCCAACACAGUGGCUUUAAGUGACGAGUUCAUCGCACUGCAGCCUUUGUCGAGGGCAAGGAAUCAGCUGGGCAAACUUAGAUGGAAGAAGAUCAGGGUUCAGUCGGCUCAGCAUAUGAACCUGCUGAGAGCCAGCACAGAGGGGAGGACAGUAGGCACCUGCUAGCUGAGGCUGGUGGCCAGCAGGACAGUGCUUGCGUGCACUAGCUUGCUGAAGCUCAUUCCAGUGUCAAGUGCUUGGACUCCGUGUGCUGUUUCCCAGGAGAGACCCCGUGUGCGUCUGUUGGAAGAAUGCUGGAGCGAGUCAUAGGACGGUGUAGUCCCAACCAUAUCAGCAGGUUGUGGAAUGCAUCGGAUCCAUUCUAUACCAAUGACAGGAGCAUCUUGACUCUCUCGCCAAUGGACUCAUCUACUUGUUAAAGGGACAGUAGGACUUUGUGGAACAAGUUCACUUGUCCUCAGGUUUGGGGUCACCAUCCAGUUGUAAAAGGCCAGUUACUUUCUGAAAUCUCUUGAGGAAUUGACACUUUCUCAGAGUCCAUGGGAAACAGGCAGUUAUAUGAACCCUUCUCCUUUCUCUUUAAUUUGAAUGUGAAUAUAUUAAAAUUUGGAGAUAAAGAGAUAGUAACAAUCUCUUUGUCUGGUUUGUCCCUUCUGAUCAUGGGACUCCUGGUGGCAUUGCAGCCUUUGCUGAGGCCACUGUACUUUAAUAUCAAGGUAGAGAAAGGGGUCAUUCUUGGUUAUGUGUAGUUUAAGAUGAGGGUGGUUUGGGACUCUUCUAUUUAAAUCUGCUUCUGUAAAUUUUGCUAAAGAUUUGCCUUGAGAACUCUAUUUUUUUUAUUAGAUUAUAUUUGAAGCUUUUCGUGGGGAAAGUUAAUGUGAAUAUCAAGGAAUUUUGGUCCUUCAGUGACCUCUGUUAAUUCAUUAGUACUUUUUAAGUCACAGAGCAACUAGGAGAGCACGUUUCUAACCACUGUCUUUUGCGGUGUGGGUAAUAAGCUUAUACUGACCCCACUUCUUUAACGAUGCUGUAACCCAGCCAGUGACGCUAAUCCUACAAGUGCAAAGGGAGUUUUGCAUCUCAUGUCCAAGUCAGAAUUAGGGCCAUUUACUAGACUUCAAAUUGGUGUUUGCUAAUAUUUUUGUGGCCAAGUAUGUAAACUUGUAGUGGGUAAAUUCAAUACUUUUGUCAUAUUAAUUUACUGUAUCUGUCUUAUCUUUUGCAUGCUUCAACCUGGCUAAUAUAUUUAAAUCCACCGCAUCUCUCCUCCCUCCCCCCAUUAUUACUUUCCUCUCUCUCCAAAGACUCUGUUCAUAGUUUUAUAACAAUAUUGUAAAGUUCAAUUGUAUCAAUAAAAAAAAAAAACAAGUUUGGACAGUAUUUAAAUAUUGCAAAUAUAUUUAAUUAUAUAAAUUAAAAUAUAAGCCAUAAUGUCUUUCUUUGGCCCACUUAGAAUUGCUCUUGACUUGCUGUAAACCAACCUUCAGAAUAAAGGACUUUUGUUAAGAA